CUUAAAAUGUUUUCAGCUCAAUACCUGACUUCAGCUAUCCUAGCAGAUAACUAGAAGGCUGCACUUAAUAAGGGAGGAGAAAUGUAACAGCAAUCACAGUGCUGACACAAAGUAAAUGAAGGGCACAGCUUUCUGGAAAAUGGAGUCAUGUAAUAGCAAGAGAAUUCGAAAGCAGUGGGAUAUCCAGUCUGCAGAGCUCCCCUGAGACUUCUUCUUGGAGAAAUGAGCACUUGGAGAGAUGAGCACCCACUUCUAGCCACAUUCAUGAAGAUUUUCCUUAAAAUGCCAAUGUGGAGGAAACUAAUCUGAAAACAUAGUUUAUGAAAUAAAAAUAGAAGAAUAAAAUGCAGAUUCAAAAAAGAACCUUCUAGAAUCACUCAGAUACAAGUCAGGCUAUAUCUAAAGAAAUAUGAAUAUUUCUUUAAGAGAUUGACAUCAAGAGGUGUUUCUGAAGUACGGGAAUGUAACUGAUACCCAAGUUUCUUCUUCGUAUGCUGUUGACAUCCAGGACAGAUCCAGUAGGUGCAGCGAUUCCUGUUCUACAGAAAGGCACGGAUCACAAAUCAGAGCUUCAGUCCUACACUUC